AUUCAAUCUGAAACGCACGCAUACUAAAGAAAUAAUCAAUCCAUUGGAAAAUUACUGCUAACAAAAGAGCCUAUGUCAAUAAUGUGCAUGUAAAAGCACUCACAGUCUCAGGCAAGUAAACGGCGAAGGCAUCAGCAAAGAAAACCAACAGCUAGAAUGGCUACACAAAACACCAUUAGACCGAUUUUAAGCCAGUGUGAACACUGCCACCUAUGGGUGAUCUGUCCACCGAGCUGUGGGCAUAAAGUACAUCUAUCUUUGGUUUGAAGAGAGGCUAGUAGAAUGCUUGCCAUUCAAAUGUCCGAUAUGCUUUAAAAUGUUUUGACGAAGAUGUUUAUCGCUUCUUAGAAGAUUUUUUUGAGUAUGUAUUUUUAUAAUUCUUUAUCUUUUGAAAAGUGAUACAGUAGAACAGUCAGUAAGAUUGAUUUCUUUUUAUUUCAGAGUGAUCGUUGCUAGUUUCUUUCAAUAAAAUGUUUAUUUCAA